rnacentral:lncRNA from 1 species
GCCACAUCAGUAUGAAUGGUGGAGCUGCAGGAGACGGCUCUGCUGCGGCAAUUCAGAAAGUUGGCGACGGGAGACAGCCAGAGAAAGCGCGCACAUGGUUUGCUGCGUGUUCAGGAUGAGUUUUAGUUCGCAGUGUAAAAGUCUGAAAGUGAGCGAAAGUGUGUCAGGUCAAACUGGUGCAAAUACGCGCCUCGCAAAUGUUGGCUGAGAUGAAAAAGAAAAAGAAAAGAGGUGCAAACUGCGCGCCUGACCGCCAGUGAUGUGGGGGGGCUUGUGCGCAGGAUUGAGAAACAGCCUCACCACAGGACUAUCAGACUGGUUUCCACCACAUUCACCCAUCCUGACAAGUGGUGGGGAAACCACCUCAGCAAAGCUUAUCUGUUGUUGCUGAGUCAGUUUGGGGUCAUGACAUAAUCAUCAUGAGAUGGGGAGGCUGGUGACCGCAGGAAGCGACAGAGGAGGAGGUGCUGUGUGUCGUGGUUUGCAGCUGCUGGUUCUUGCCAAAAAAAAAUUGUGCUUGGAUUUGCCUCAGGGAAUAGUUUGCUCAAAUGUUGAAAGGAAGAAAAAAAUUCAAGAGGUCUCAGUGGGCAAUGGCAGCCCUGUGUCUCAGCCAGGCUCCAUCGCUCCAGUACCAGCAACCUCUCACCGAUUAGAGAUCUGCCCAGUUAAGAGAAGAGAAAGGGCAUUUCCCCUGGGUGGACACGCACUGGGAAGCUUAAACCAGAAAAGGAAAAAAAAAAA